rnacentral:rRNA from 1 species
GCCCUCUAGACUGGGAUAACAGAGGGAAACUUCUGAUAAUACUGGAUAAGUUAGUAUAUCGCAUGAUAUGCAAACGAAAGCUACGGCACUAAGGAGAGCUUUGCGUCCUAUUAGCUAGUUGGUAAGGUAAGAGCUUACCAAGGCGAUGAUAGGUAGCCGGCCUGAGAGGGUGGACGGCCACAAGGGGACUGAGAUACGGCCCUUACUCCUACGGGAGGCAGCAGAA